AUGAACGCUGGCGGCGUGCCUAAUACAUGCAAGUCGAGCGAACAGACGAGGAGCUUGCUCCUCUGACGUUAGCGGCGGACGGGUGAGUAACACGUGGAUAACCUACCUAUAAGACUGGGAUAACUUUGGGAAACCGGAGCUAAUACCGGAUAAUAUAUUGAACCGCAUGGUUCAAUAGUGAAAGACGGUUUUGCUGUCACUUAUAGAUGGAUCCGCGCCGCAUUAGCUAGUUGGUAAGGUAACGGCUUACCAAGGCGACGAUGCGUAGCCGACCUGAGAGGGUGAUCGGCCACACUGGAACUGAGACACGGUCCAGACUCCUACGGGAGGCAGCAGUAGGGAAUCUUCCGCAAUGGGCGAAAGCCUGACGGAGCAACGCCGCGUGAGUGAUGAAGGUCUUCGGAUCGUAAAACUCUGUUAUUAGGGAAGAACAAAUGUGUAAGUAACUACGCACGUCUUGACGGUACCUAAUCAGAAAGCCACGGCUAACUACGUG
rnacentral:rRNA from 1 species